rnacentral:snoRNA from 1 species
CCCCACCUUGAUUCUUUACCUCUUAAAUAUAAAUACUGGUCUAAAUGGCUAUAAAAGGAGGAAAAGUAAAAUUGAAGUGGACUUGGAGUCUUCAGUAGCAUACAAGCUCAAAAAAGA